UCGAACGAAGCACUUUAUUUGAUUUCCUUCGGGACUGAUUAUUUUGUGACUGAGUGGCGGACGGGUGAGUAACGCGUGGGUAACCUGCCUUGUACAGGGGGAUAACAGUUGGAAACGGCUGCUAAUACCGCAUAAGCGCACAGCAUCGCAUGAUGCAGUGUGAAAAACUCCGGUGGUAUAAGAUGGACCCGCGUUGGAUUAGCUAGUUGGUGAGGUAACGGCCCACCAAGGCGACGAUCCAUAGCCGACCUGAGAGGGUGACCGGCCACAUUGGGACUGAGACACGGCCCAAACUCCUACGGGAGGCAGCAGUGGGGAAUAUUGCACAAUGGGCGAAAGCCUGAUGCAGCGACGCCGCGUGAGCGAAGAAGUAUUUCGGUAUGUAAAGCUCUAUCAGCAGGGAAGAUAAUGACGGUACCUGACUAAGAAGCACCGGCUAAAUACGUGCCAGCAGCCGCGGUAAUACGUAUGGUGCAAGCGUUAUCCGGAUUUACUGGGUGUAAAGGGAGCGCAGGUGGUGCGGCAAGUCUGAUGUGAAAGCCCGGGGCUCAACCCCGGUACUGCAUUGGAAACUGUCGUACUAGAGUGUCGGAGGGGUAAGCGGAAUUCCUAGUGUAGCGGUGAAAUGCGUAGAUAUUAGGAGGAACACCAGUGGCGA
rnacentral:rRNA from 1 species